GAGAGGAGGAGGGGGAGGGCUAGUCGGAGCCGCAGCCGCCGCCUCCUCCGCUCGCCCUCCUCCCUGGCGCUGACCGAUAGACCAGCCGCUCCGUGGGGAGGACUCCGGACCCUCGUGGGGGGGAUGGGGGAGCCCUUCCGCCCCCCCGACGCCAGGACCCUAAGAGAGGGUGCGGGCCCGCCUUCGGAGAGGGGGGAAGGGCGGGCAGCGUGGGGAGAGGUCUGAGCUCGCCAGGAGGGGGAGGGUGCGCACCCUGAUUCGCCCCUCGAAGGCCUUGUUUUUUCCGCUCUGAGCCAGACACCGGAGAGAAGUUUGGGGAGGAGGUGGGUUUCAUUUUACAGGGUAUACGGGUACUUUUGUUGGAGAUUUUGCUCCCACUAAAGGGUUGCCGAGGUUUUGUCGACCAGGUUCUUCACUGCGGCGGCCGCCUCAUUCCCGAGAACAACCACCGCCGGCGUCCUGUGGCCACACCCCGGCGGGCCGAUCCUGGCUACGCCCACGCGGCCCCCUCCAAUCCUGCCGGCCUGGCCAAUGGAGGAACUACGAAUGGCACGACCUGCCCAAGCUUGGCAGUCGCCAGUCGCACUGGGCUUGGACGGCUGGAAAGACUUUGUUGGAAGGGGAGGCAGGGAGAGGGUGCUGCACCCCUGCCAACCUCCCUUUUUCCCUGGAGUUGCCGAACCACAGCGCAGCCAAUUGGCUCAGAGAUGUGGCGGGUUGCCGCUUCCCUGGGGGUCUAUGCGGCACUCUUCUGCCUGGUGACUGACGCUUUGGAAAUGAGGUUUAUGACGUCAUCGCUUCCGCCGACCAAUAGAAAACGCUCCCGCGGAGAGGUGUUCCUCCCCCUUCGACUCUGCUUCUUCACGCGCGUGAGCGAGCGAGCGCGCGCGAAGGGGGUGGGGGAAAUCGCGAGCACGGUGGCGCGCAUGAGCGGCGAGGCUCCUCCCCCUUGCCUAUAUAUAAAGGGCUGGCGCGGGGCUCGGAGGCGCCAUUUCGCGCUGGAGUGGAGCAGCCUCUAGAACGAGCUGGAGGAUUCUGCGUAUCUACACAGAGCCUUCGAGUCGUCUGGGGCCGCCAUUACAAUCCACGUCCAUCCGCUUGGAAAUGGCCUUCGUCUCGGCCUAUGACCGGCCCCGGCGGACAGUACAGACCCCAUAGAAGCCCCCGAAGCUCCCCUUUUUCGGGCCCCGCCCAGUUCUCGGAGUCUGUCCACCCCCUCUACUCCGCCCUCAAGAGGAUUUCAAAGAUGGAGGCGGCGGCUCCCUAAACCAUUUUUCGUGUUCAUCCGCCUCCAUCCGAGAUCGAAACGGGACGUCGUCCGCCCCGGACGGUCCUGGCAGGAAGAGGGGAUCCUUGCAGACCAACGGCGGGCAGUAUUGGCGACGGUGUCUAGGAUCGGGGGCCGUCCUGGGGUUUGAAGAGCCCGUCCCCUUUCGCUCGCCCGCCUCAGCUGAGGCCGCCGCCAUUUUCUCGCUGUCCGCCUCCUGCGGAGCGCGCCAAGCUGCUGGGAGUUCUCCGAGGGACAGCGGAGGAGAUUGCUUUCGUGCCAGCCCGGCGGGGUGGGUUGUCGCCUGGAGGGCCGAGGGCAGCGGCCCCCGCCCUCCCCCCACUUCCCGGGUUAUGCUGGACCGGGAGGUAAGGGGAACCGAGGCCACCCGGACUUUCCGCGGCUGAGGGCAGC
rnacentral:lncRNA from 1 species